rnacentral:tRNA from 1 species
CUUGUAGUCCAGUGGUUAGGAUACUCCGCUUUCACUGGAGCGGCCAGGGUUCCAUUCCCUGAAGG